UUCUCAGGACUCAGGGAAUAGAACACCACAUUUUCCGGAGUCACAAAUUCUUCCCGUGCAUACCGGCUGAGCAAGAAGCACCACAAUGAUUGUUGUCUUAUGGAUGCUUCUUAUUGCAGGCACCAUAUGGAAGGGAUAUAAAUAUCCCCCAGGAGGGACCCCAGUGGAAGUAUGCAAAGAUGAUCCCGGUGAAGUAAUGCAGCUCUGAAGCUCACCUGACCAGCUGUACAGUUCCUGUUGUUGGUUUUGCAUAAAGUAAUUGCGCAUUAUUUUGUCA